rnacentral:rRNA from 1 species
UACAGAGGUCUCAAGCGUUGUUCGGAUUCAUUGGGCGUAAAGGGUGUGUAGGUGGCGCCGUAAGUCGGGUGUGAAAUUUCGGAGCUUAACUCCGAAACUGCAUUCGAUACUGCCGUGCUUGAGGACUGGAGAGGAGACUGGAAUUUACGGUGUAGCGGUGAAAUGCGUAGAUAUCGUAAGGAAGACCAGUGGCGAAGGCGGGUCUCUGGACAGUUACUGACGCUGAGGCACGAAGGCCAGGGGAGCAAACGGG